AACGAGCGCUGGCGGCAUGCCUAACACAUGCAAGUCGAACGAGAUCUUCGGGUCUAGUGGCGCACGGGUGCGUAACGCGUGGGAAUCUGCCCUUUGGUUCGGAAUAACAGUUGGAAGCGACUGCUAAUACCGGAUGAUGACGAAAGUCCAAAGAUUUAUCGCCAGAGGAUGAGCCCGCGUAGGAUUAGCUAGUUGGUGUGGUAAAGGCGCACCAAGGCGACGAUCCUUAGCUGGUCUGAGAGGAUGAUCAGCCACACUGGGACUGAGACACGGCCCAGACUCCUACGGGAGGCAGCAGUGGGGAAUAUUGGACAAUGGGCGAAAGCCUGAUCCAGCAAUGCCGCGUGAGUGAUGAAGGCCUUAGGGUUGUAAAGCUCUUUUACCCGGGAUGAUAAUGACAGUACCGGGAGAAUAAGCUCCGGCUAACUCCGUGCCAGCAGCCGCCGUAA
rnacentral:rRNA from 1 species